UCUAACUAAUAUUUCGAGGAGUGGAGUGAUGGAGUAACGUCCCGAAACGCUCCCCCUGAGACUGCGUUGGAAGAAACCGUGGACAAACGCGGGGACUGACACAGCACGCCGAAGUCGGCUGAACACACUCGCUGUAUCGACAGUACCAGCAACACAUCGUUACGGCAAAAACGAACCAGAGGUGGUCGUGAGUGAUAGGCCGGGGGUCUACAAG
rfam:Oscillibacter valericigenes Sjm18-20 DNA, complete genome.